ensembl:lncRNA
GUGAUAACACUCCAUCAAAAGCUUCAGCUUUCUGAAGCAGUUUGGAGAGUGAAGACUCAGUGUUCCUCAGGCACACAGCUUCUACAGGCCAAACAGAAAAGGAUGAGAGUGUGAGGGUAAAGUGCAAACUACGUCCAGGACAGAAACAUCUGCAUUAUACUGUUAACACAACUUUGGCUCUUCACAAGCACCUGCACAAACUAGCUAUGAACCCAGAGUGGUGAUACAGCUGAGUGAAUGCAAACCCCAGCACGCCCUGAAAUUUAACAGUUAACCUGUCAGACGUGAAGCUGUUCACCAGACUGGGCAGAGAAAAA